rnacentral:rRNA from 1 species
GGAUUCGAUUACACCAGCACUAACGCACCGGAUCUCAUCAGAACUCCGAAGCAAAGCGUGCUUGGGCAAGAGUAGUACCAGGCAAAAUGACCCCCUGGGACGUCCUCGUGUUUCAUCAC